CCUACGGGAGGCUGCAGUGGGGAAUAUUGGACAAUGGGGGCAACCCUGAUCCAGCCAUGCCGCGUGUGUGAAGAAGGCCCUCGGGUUGUAAAGCACUUUCAGUGAGGAAGAACGCCUGGUGGUUAAUACCCAUCAGGAAAGACAUCACUCACAGAAGAAGCACCGGCUAACUCCGUGCCAGCAGCCGCGGUAAUACGGAGGGUGCGAGCGUUAAUCGGAAUUACUGGGCGUAAAGCGCGCGUAGGUGGCUUGAUAAGCCGGUUGUGAAAGCCCCGGGCUCAACCUGGGAACGGCAUCCGGAACUGUCAAGCUAGAGUGCAGGAGGGGAAGGUAGAAUUCCCGGUGUAGCGGUGAAAUGCGUAGAGAUCGGGAGGAAUACCAGUGGCGAAGGCGGCCUUCUGGACUGACACUGACACUGAGGUGCGAAAGCGUGGGUAGCAAACAGGAUUAGAUACACCGGUAGUA
rnacentral:rRNA from 1 species